rfam:Pantoea stewartii subsp. stewartii DC283 WGS_Sequence38, whole genome shotgun sequence.
AACCCCCUGAUUCUGUCUUCAACUUUGGCGGGCUGGAUUCAGAAAUCAGGGGGUCAAAAGCAGGCACAGGCCUGUGAAGGAUUAUAUCGCAUGCAUUUCAUAAGACAACCCCUGUCCGCCAUAAGU